rnacentral:rRNA from 1 species
CACGUAGGGCGCAAGCGUUGUCCGGAAUUAUUGGGCGUAAAGAGCUCGUAGGUGGUCUGUUGCGUCCGCUGUGAAAACUCGGGGCUUAACCCCGAGCCUGCAGUGGAUACGGGCAGACUAGAGGUAGGUAGGGGAGAAUGGAAUUCCUGGUGUAGCGGUGAAAUGCGCAGAUAUCAGGAGGAACACCGAUGGCGAAGGCAGGUCUCUGGGCCGAUACUGACGCUGAGGAGCGAAAGCGUGGGGAGCGAACAGG